rnacentral:rRNA from 1 species
UUCGAGGGAACAGUGAAGCUGCUGACGAGCGGCGGACGGCUGAGUAAACGCGUGGGAACGGACCCCAAAACUGAGGGAUAACGCACCCGAAAGGUGUGCUAAUACCGCAUGUGAUCUUCGGAUUAAAAGUCUUCGGACGGUUUGGGACUGGCCUGCGUACGAUUAGAUAGUUGCGGGGUAAUAGCCCACCAAGUCGACGAUCGUUAGAUGGUUUGAGAAGAUGAUCAUCCAGACUGGGACUGAGACACGGCCCAGACUCCUACGGGAGGCAGCAGUAGGGAAUCUUUCACAAUGGGCGAAAGCCUGAAUGGAGCAACGCCGCGUGCAGGAUGACGGCCUUCGGGUUGUAAACUGCUUUUAUAAGCGAGAAAUAUGAUGGUAACUUAUGAAUAAGGACCGGCUAACUACGUGCCAGCAGCCGC